rnacentral:rRNA from 1 species
UACGUAGGGGGCUAGCGUUGUCCGGAAUCAUUGGGCGUAAAGCGCGUGUAGGCGGUCCGGUAAGUCCGCUGUGAAAGUCGGGGGCUCAACCCUCGGAUGCCGGUGGAUACUGUCGGGCUUGAGUACGGAAGAGGCGAGUGGAAUUCCUGGUGUAGCGGUGAAAUGCGCAGAUAUCAGGAAGAACACCCGUGGCGAAAGCGGCUCUCUGGGACGGUACUGACGCUGAGACGCGAAAGCGUGGGGAGCGAACAGG